UAGGGAAUCUUCGGCAAUGGACGAAAGUCUGACCGAGCAACGCCGCGUGAGUGAAGAAGGUUUUCGGAUCGUAAAACUCUGUUGUUAGAGAAGAACAAGGACGUUAGUAACUGAACGUCCCCUGACGGUAUAUAACCAGAAAGCCACGGCUAACUACGUGCUAGCAGCCGCGGUAAUACGUAGGUGGCAAGCGUUGUCCGGCUUUAUUGGGCGUAAAGCGAGCGCAGGCGGUUUCUUAAGUCUGAUGUGAAAGCCCCCGGCUCAACCGGGGAGGGUCAUUGGAAACUGGGAGACUUGAGUGCAGAAGAGGAGAGUGGAAUUCCAUGUGUAGCGGUGAAAUGCGUAGAUAUAUGGAGGAACACCAGUGGCGAAGGCUGCUCUCUGGUCUGUAACUGACGCUGAGGCUCGAAAGCGUGGGGAGCAAACAGG
rnacentral:rRNA from 1 species